UACGUAGGUGGCAAGCGUUGUCCGGAAUUACUGGGCGUAAAGGGCGCGUAGGCGGCGCUUCAAGUCGCGUGUGAAAGCCCCCGGCUCAACUGGGGAGGGUCACGCGAUACUGAUCGACUCGAAGGCAGGAGAGGGUAGUGGAAUUCCCGGUGUAGUGGUGAAAUGCGUAGAUAUCGGAAGGAACAUCAGUGGCGAAAGCGGCUUCCUGGACCAGAACUGACGAUCAGGCUCGAAAGCGUGGGGAGCAAACAGG
rnacentral:rRNA from 1 species